CUGUAGCUCAGCUGGAUAGAGCAGCUGCCUUCUAAGCCGCUGGCCACAGGUUCGAAUCCUGUCAG
rnacentral:tRNA from 1 species